rnacentral:lncRNA from 1 species
GAUCACAAAAUACCAACUAUCACACUUAAUAAAAUACACUGACAGAGCGAGAGAGAUUUAAACUUCUAUAUCUCCGUUAUAACAAAGCCCCAUGACCCUACGGUGCUCAAGCUGAUACAAAUAUACCAUGAACAAGCGUUUGGAGGAGAAACGAGAAGAGAAUAGAGGAUAAACCGAUUCGAAUGCACACCCCUAGGUCAAACAGUUAGAGCAUCAGCUCUUUAAUCGAGUGAGCUGAUAUAUCUGAGUUCAAACUUGUUGGAGGCUAUUUUCUCUCGAACAAAAUGAAAAUCUAUGUUAAUAUCACUGCUGGGGUUACGCGGUAUUCUAACGGCCGUAUCAGUUGAAAAGCAUAUCUUCCUGCUUCUCCUUCAUGUCUUGCAUCACUAUAUCUGCUAGCUACAUCACUUUUUCUUGAUUGGAUAAGUUGCAAAUCAUUUUGUACAAUAUUUGAUGACAGAUCUAAUACGCGCUAGUUGUUCCAUGGCAUGUUAGUUUACCCAGAGUUGAAUCGAGGUUAUGCCUAGAUCAGGUAAAUUUUUAACCUUUGGUAUCUAAUCAAACAAUUAUAAAUGCAGUCUAAUCUAUAUCUAUCUAUAUAAAAAUAAUUGAGGGACUUGGACCAGUUACGUGGCACUCCUAUUUGGCAGGAAAUGCAUUUUCCUGCCUCUAUGUAUUUUUCGGAUUUUACACUUCAAAAUUUAUUGCCAAAACACGAAAAGUCUCUUUACACUAUGAACGAACCGCUUCCCAUCCACAACGAUUCUUUUCUUCCCACAAACCAUUCUGUUUCCAUACUUAUUUCUCUUUCCAUACUCUAUCAAUUCUAUCAGUUACUCAGUAGCCUUUCAUCGAUAUUUUUUCUCCUCAUCUUCUCUGCCUUUACUUUGUUAAAUUUCUCUACACUAAUCUUCUUUGUUCUUUUUUGGGGGAAGGAAAAAAUUCGUUAAUUCACUGGUAAUCACUAUAUUUUUCACUCACCAGAAAAUUCCUCACCAAAUGCCAACUUCGCCGCUAAUGAAGUAUUCGAAGAAAAACAUAUCUCGCCCACGGUCUCAGCAAAUAUUGAUAUUCACUCCACAACUACCGGCCUAUAAUUCAAAACUAAUCUAUACAAUCUAUGUGUCAUUCUUAUAUAUAUAAAAUUUGUACACCCUAAUCUAAUUAUAUAGGUGUGGCAGACAAGGAUUACGAGGCCAUAACGGCGUGAAAAGAUUCAGGUACAGUCCAAAGCACUGCUAUGCUUUUUCCGCAAUUCAUAACUUAUGGUGUAAGUAUUCCAGAAUCCUACAAUUCUUUUUCCCUAAUUCAUAAAUAAGGAUCUAAAGAUUCUAAAACACUUUAAAAAGUUUGCAAAAAAACAAAGAUUCUUCACUACUAUGAUUUUUACACUAUGGUGUAAAUAUUCUUAAAUACUUACUUGCCUACUAAUGGUGCAAAAAUGUUGUUUUACUUCUAUUUUUUUGGGAUCAAAUCUCGACAACAGUAUUUUUAAAUGUUGAUUAUAGCUUACUUAUAUAGAUUUUAGACUAUUUUAUAUUUUUAUCGUAGCCUUCGAAAUUGGUAUUGGAUAAUUGUUCUCUGCACUUUUGUAUUCUGCUUGCAGCCAUAUAUGCAUUUUUAAUAGCUGCAACAUUGUAAUGACCUGGAAAAUAUAUUACUAUUAUACAGCAAAAUUGUAAUGGCCGUUGUAAUGCUUUCUAAUUUUAGUUUGAAUAUAUAUAGAUUCUCUAUAUUAUAUUGUCGUGCUUUACUCUUGUGUGUUCUACUUGAAGAUCAUAUGCAUCUAUAAUACAAUAAUAAAAGACUAAUGAUUAGAAAAAUACUUUUUCCCAGCAAUAUUGUAGAUGUUAGGAAAUUUAUUCUUCAGUUUUCUUAUAUCUUGCCUUUUAUCCAUUAUUUAAGUGCUCAGACGCGCCUCUUUUUGCUCCUUCAAAAGUCACGCCUCUUACUCUUCUAUCUCAAUUUUAACCACACAUCGUUUCUCUUCCUCUUAUUUCCUCCAAGCCAAAGCAAAUCACAUAUUUCUUUUAACCAUACGUCGUUUUCUCAUUUUUUUUGUUUGCUGCAUUAUGAAUUAAUGUGUAUUUACCUUUUGUGUGUUUGACAUUUAAACUGAUGAGUUUAUAUGAUGAUCGGUUAAUAUAGACUUCAAGUUAAUUUUAAACUAAUUAAUAUAGUUUUCCAUGUGCUUAUAUCGUCCUAAUAUAUAUAGCUUAUCUUUUAUCAUAGAGGAUUCAUGCAAUGGAUAAUCACUGACCAAUUGAUAGCGUUAUCUUAAGAAUAUACAAAGAGAACUAAUCAAAGACUACUAUUUUCGUUAUAAUUCAUGCAAGGACCUUGAGAUACGUCAUGAUGCUAUCUUUUCUAUACUCUACUUUGUGAGAUGAUCUGGUCAUUUUUACGAGUAACUUUUGUUUUGGUUAUCAAUAUAUUCAUUUUUGCAAAACCAACUUUUUAGUUUAAUUUUAGUAAUCAGAUAUUUAGAAAAGCUUGCGUGGUAAAUUCAAUAAUAUAUUACCUAUAUAGGUUAUACAAAAAUAACAAAAAAGUUAGAUGACUAAAAACUCUUACAUGACAAAAAAAUUAGAGAAAAAUAAAAUAAAAAAGUGUUAAUAACAAAAUGGAUUAAAAUAUAAGUAGGAACAAAAGGUAAGGUGACUUACUUAUGUGAAAAGUCUGAUAAAUAUUAUUGUUUGUAAUAAUUAAUAUCACAUAUGACCAAUAUUUGCAUCUAAUACAAUUACUAAUUUAUAUUAUUAUCUACAAUAAUUAUAAUUAAUACUCCUAUAAUAUUAUUUAAGAGCAACAUUUAACGGGAUUCAAAGGCCUAAUUUAUAAAAGUUCAAAAAUUUAUAUAUGUGAUAUUUUUAUUUGGAUUUUCUUUUCUAUUCUAAUUUUUUCAUACGUAUAUCUUACAUUUUUUUUGUUGGUGUUACGAAAAUGUUCUCAUUUAUUUUGAUUUGACUGCGCGAAGUGCAUGCUAUUUAACUAGUUUACAAAUAAAGGGAGAGGAUAAUCUGAUGAUUUCUUAUUAGGUUUUCUAAAUCUUUAGUUGGUUAGUUUUCACAAUGUAUUCAUAGUGGUAUGUGCAAUUCCCGCAAUUAUUACCUAACAAUUUGUUGGCUUUUGCCAUAUACAUAACCAAACGCGAUCAUAAUCUUACUAAGUAUUUUGCAUUGCGUUUUCAGUAAAUUAUAAGAGAUGACCUCCUCUGCUACAUAGGUCAUAUAUCAUCAUCCUUGAUUUGUGAGCCACGGUUAACUUUCGUGUUGUUUCACCUUUGGAAACAAAAAUGAAAUUAUAUUUGUUCGCUUUGUGUAGGCCAGGUUGCCUGAUGUGAGCAAUAAUGUAUGUGUAUCUUGAGGUUGCAAAAUUAGAUUACAACAAAUGCGAAAGUCAACAUAUAUCGAUCGGCAUAAUUUUUACAUAUAAAAGAAAAGUAAUUAAGGAAAUAAAAUGGUAUUUCCCCUCACAUUUCCUUUUUGGACAUGACUGCAGUCUGCAUAAUGAACCGGUGGUUUGAAAACUGCAAGCUACAGGAGAUAAGACUACACAAAAAAUCCCUCCUAAAUGCUUAUUUCUUAAUUAGCUGCACCCAGUGUAUUUAACCAGAAUUGCACUAAACAUUGCCAAUACAAGUUAGAAGCUGAGACAAAGUUUUUCCUUUGAAAUAAAGCUUCAAACAGUUUACUCUCUGACUAUAACAUCAAAAACGGAUUUUAUAGCACCUCAUUUACCAUAUUACAAUUUAAUGCUUAUGAAAAGGUUUACAUGUUAUUACUUUAUGAUUUGAUUAUGUAAAUAUUUUUUAUAUUAAUGUUUGUGCAUAGAACUUAAACGGCUUCUCUAAUCAAGUACACCACAUAUUGCUACCAUAUGCACUUGUGCCUAAAAAACGACACUUAUUAAGGAAAACAACAAUAUGCACAUGAGUCAUUGCGAAACGAUCAAUCAGAAAAAUCUUCUUGGGAUCUAUUUCUUAUAUUGUUGAAAACACUUUCACGUAACUUCUAAAAACAUCGACAAAAUGUUCACAGUAUUAGUUUAUUGUUAUAUUCACACUACUCAUAUAGCUAGUAUGUUCGAUAUAUAAUUAUAUCAAAGGAUUCAAAAUUUAAUUGUGAGAUGAGAUGAAAUUUUAGUCAAACAAACCUCCAAAAUAUCAUAUAAUAUAGUAUCGAAGAGAAAAAAAGAAGAAAACAUGAGCAAAAUAUUCAAUUGCAAUAUUUAGCAGAGAUUUUCUUACAGUAACAAAACUAAAGAGAUGGUCCUCCGUAACCUACUUCAGUUUCUUCACCAACUCGAUCUCUGAUAAAGUUUACAAGGACGAUACAGGGAAAGACAUCCACCACCAAUUACACAAUGCAAUGAGUACAUUAAUUCGGAUCAUAUAUGUUUAUUCUUUAAAUCCCAAUAUUGUUUUUUUGUUUUUUAAAGGAACAUAUAUAUUAUCUUUUCAAUGUAUUGGGAAUAAUAUAUUACUAUUGUUGUCUGCUGUAGUAUUAUUUCCUUUAACUUGUUCUUCUUCGUUUUUUGGCUUGGAGCGGAGGACAGUGGGGAGCAUGGUUGAUGUCCCUAAGGGAGGAGAAGAGUACUCGAAGAAGCAGAGCUGCUAGUGCGAACAAUUAUUCUAUGUGCUGGCCAUAUGAG